rnacentral:pre_miRNA from 1 species
AUGAUACUCCCUCCGUCCGGAAUUACUUGUCGCGGAAAUGGAUGUAUCUAUAACUAAAAUAUGUCUAGAUACAUCCAUUUCUCCGACAAGUAUUUCCGGACGGAGGGAGUACUUC